CCUACGGGAGGCAGCAGUGGGGAAUAUUGCACAAUGGGGGAAACCCUGACGCAGCGAUGCCGCGUGAGUGAAGAAGUUCUUCGGAAUGUAAAGCUCUUUCAGACGUGACGAUGAUGACGGUAGCGUCCAAAGAAGCCCCGGCUAACUACGUGCCAGCAGCCGCGGUAAUACGUAGGGUGCGAGCGUUAUUCGGAAUUACUGGGCGUAAAGGGAGCGUAGAUGGGUGGGUAAGUCAGAAGUGAAAGUGCGUGGCUUAACCAUAAAAUUGCAUUUGAUACUGGCAGGCUUGAGUGCAGGUGAGGUAGGCGGAAUUCGUAGUGUAGCGGUGAAAUGCGUAGAUAUUACGAAGAACACCGGUGGCGAAGGCAGCUUACUAGACUGUCACUGACAUUGAUGCUCGAAAGUGUGGGGAGCAAACAGGAUUAGAUACCCUUGUAGUC
rnacentral:rRNA from 1 species